rnacentral:rRNA from 1 species
AACCUGAGAAACCCGAAAGGUCGAAAGGGGAAAUUCAUUCGCGUUUCGAUUGUCGGCGAUAAACGAGCGAGUGACGGACGACGUACGUUCGCGCGUACGUUUUCUGCUUCUUUCGUUUAGGUAACGACGCCGAACGCCUGCACUUUUCCCCUAGUAGGACGUCGCGAUCCGUUGGGUGUCGGUCUAAGGCUCGCGGUGGAGCCCGCGCGGUUUAUAGCCGCGCGGACCCGCGAUAUCCCGACCGACCUGCUCGACGGUAUAAAGAUGGCGCGAGGCCGCUACUUCGUAGAAUUAGCGUUCGGCCCGUAGCAAGCGCGUUCGUCGUUAGACGGCGAUCGGACCUAGCGCCGGUCCUGUCCGCGAACGACUGUUGGCUGCGGUGAUCUCGAACAGACCUCGUCGAAACGCCGAUCUGCGACGCUAUAGCUUUGGGUACUUUCAGGACCC